rnacentral:rRNA from 1 species
UACGAAGGGGGCUAGCGUUGCUCGGAAUCACUGGGCGUAAAGGGUGCGUAGGCGGGUUUUUAAGUCAGGGGUGAAAUCCCGGGGCUCAACCCCGGAACUGCCUUUGAUACUGAAGAUCUUGAGUCCGGGAGAGGUGAGUGGAACUGCGAGUGUAGAGGUGAAAUUCGCAGAUAUUCGCAAGAACACCAGUGGCGAAGGCGGCUCACUGGCCCGGUACUGACGCUGAGGCACGAAAGCGUGGGGAGCAAACAGG